rnacentral:lncRNA from 1 species
AAAUGGCCUUGAGUGAGGGAUUUCUGACGAAUGAGCAGAGGGGAAUGUUAAAAAUUGCCAGCUAGAAUGUUAAAAAUUGCCAGCCAGAAUGUGGAGGUUUUAUCGUCAUCACCGAAAUCCCCUACAUCUUUUCUAUCUGAACACCAUGUAAAAGCCCUUGCUGGUGGGAAGGCACCAACAACUGGGAUAGCUACGAGGCAUGUACGCCGGUCACACUCAGGGAAGCUUGUGCGAGUAAAGAAGGAUGCAGGCUUGUGGUGGAGCUGCAAUGAUGAGUUCUCUUCAACAACCCAUUUGGACAAAGGGAAUAGCUUUUCUCAACAAAGGGCUUAGCUUUACCGGACAUUCACAUGUGCUAGCAUGUUGAUGCUCUGUCACCUUCUUGAGGUUAAAGAAAAGUUGAGUCCAGAGUUUUCAUGACGCUUUGAAUAAAGGACAGAUGGCUUUGUCGACCACAUGAAAAAAGAUAUGUACCUUAUCUUUUGGCUGAUUUAUUUAAAAUUAUCAUUUGUUUAUUUAAAUAUCUUAUUAUUUUGGUCAUGAUGACUAAUUAUAAAAUAAUAAUUUUAUUAUUUUUAUUUCAUGAUGACUUAUGAUUAAAUAAUAUAAUUAUUAUUUCUAAUACCACAUGAUUACUACCACGUUAUUGAUUUAUACAACAUGUGAUUUAUCAAACAAUUGAAUAAAUCAUUUAUUCAUGAUUGUAUAUAUAUAUAUAUAUACACACACACAUUUAGGCAAUACCUAAUAUAUUGUUGAUUUAUGCAACAUGUCAUUUAUCACACAACAGAAUAAAUCAUUUAUUCAUAAAAGGCACAUAAUACAAUAUUUUGCCUUGACAAACUUUGUCAAUUUGAUUUAUUCAUUAUACGGUCGUACUUAUCAUUUAUUGUCAGGAAUUAUUGAGCAACUAGAUCCAUUGAUCAACAUUGUUGCUGAUUAAAGAAGUCUACCAACUUAUAGACUGAUGAGCCACGUGCUCAUGGUGAU